rnacentral:ncRNA from 1 species
UCAAAAGCUGAGAUGGAGAGAGUACGUGCGGGACUGGGUACAGAGAGUCGGCGGUCGCUGCGAGCCGAACCACAGGAAGCACGGAAGUACACUCCGGAGCUGUUAGGUGAACCCCUUGGUGGGUAGUAGCCUAAACCGGGCACUAACCAGUGCGCCGUUAUCCGUAAUCAAGUGAAAGGUGUUGUGCCUUUUAUUAGGGUGGUACCGCGAGAAGUCUCGUCCCUAUA